AAUAUGGGCUGUUUGGUUUUCUCGCAUGAAUGAAUUUGCUUUCAGCUGAGAAUUUACUUUUAACAAAUAAGCUGUUUUACAGGAUGCAAAGGUGGAAGGGGUGGAGUGUCUUAUGACUUACUACACUGUGGGUGCAGACACUGACAUGAUUUCUGGAUCCUCAUGUAUCUGCCUUGCUUGUUUGGACAAGGUUGUGCAAGGUGGGAGAUCUGAGAGAUGAAAAGGUGGAUACAAUCAUCUUUGGUUCUUCAUACAGCUACAGUAGUUUCUACAGGGUACUACUGGGAUCAUAAAAACGACAAUUAGAAAUGUUGAUCUGAACACCAGCCCUGUCCAGUUUGAGAGAAAAACACAGGUAGUACAGUGAGUGAUUCAUACUAUUCAUUAUUCUAAGGAUUUGGAGCAUGAAAUUAUUCAGAUUUAGAAUCCAAACUAAAGAAAUAUUUCAUAAUUAAAUGAUGCAAGUUGGGAGGGAAUAAUCUGAGAAAUCACUUACUCUGGCUAUCUCAUCAAAAAAUUGGGGUGUAUGUGGGGGGGGGGGUGUCAUUUGCCAGCACAUAAAUCUAAAUCUGGAACUCAGCUGAAGUAGUCCAGUAUGAAAAUCAACAUCUGUUUGCUCAUGCUUCUUGAAAUGUUUAGGCUGCAAAAGAUGAAUGCUAGCAAACCAAAAAGAAAGCUUUGAGGAAGACCUGUAAAAAGGACAAAACUAGCCAGACUGUUGCCUUCCAAAAUGCUUUCAUG
ensembl:lncRNA